rnacentral:rRNA from 1 species
AACGAACGCUGGCGGUAUGCUUUACACAUGCAAGUCGAACGAAUAUGGACCUAGCUUGCUAGGGACCCAGUUAGUGGCACACGGGUGAGUAACGCGUGGGAACCUACCUUUUAGUACGGAAUAGUCCUGGGAAACUGGGUUUAAUACCGUAUACGCUCUUCGGAGGAAAGAUUUAUCGCUAAAAGAUGGGCCCGCGUUAGAUUAGUUUGUUGGUGAGGUAAUGGCUCACCAAGACUACGAUCUAUAGCUGGUUUGAGAGGAUGAUCAGCCACACUGGGACUGAGACACGGCCCAGACUCCUACGGGAGGCAGCAGUGGGGAAUAUUGGACAAUGGGCGAAAGCCUGAUCCAGCAAUACCGCGUGAGUGAUGAAGGCCUUAGGGUUGUAAAACUCUUUCAGUAGGGAAGAUAAUGACGGUACCUACAGAAGAAGCACCGGCUAACUCCG